rnacentral:rRNA from 1 species
GCAAGUCUGGUGCCAGCAGCCGCGGUAAUUCCAGCUCCAAUAGCGUAUAUUAAAGUUGUUGCAGUUAAAAAGCUCGUAGUUGAACCUUGGGCCUGGCUGACCGGUCCGCCUCACCGCGUGCACUGGUUCGGCCGGGCCUUUCCUUCUGGGGAGCCGCAUGCCCUUCACUGGGUGUGUCGGGGAACCAGGACUUUUACUUUGAAAAAAUUAGAGUGUUCAAAGCAGGCCUAUGCUCGAAUACAUUAGCAUGGAAUAAUAGAAUAGGACGUGUGGUUCUAUUUUGUUGGUUUCUAGGACCGCCGUAAUGAUUAAUAGGGAUAGUCGGGGGCAUCAGUAUUCAAUUGUCAGAGGUGAAAUUCUUGGAUUUAUUGAAGGCUAACUACUGCGAAAGCAUUUGCCAAGGAUGUUUUCAUUAAUCAGUGAACGAAAGUUAGGGGAUCGAAGACGAUCAGAUACCGUCGUAGUCUUAACCAUAAACUAUGCCGACUAGGGAUCGGGCGAUGUUAUCUUUUUGACUCGCUCGGCACCUCACGAGAAAUCAAAGUUUUUGGGUUCUGGGGGGAGUAUGGUCGCAAGGCUGAAACUUAAAGGAAUUGACGGAAG